CCUGGUGAUUAUAGCAGAGGGGCCACACCCGUUCCCAUCCCGAACACGGAAGUUAAGCCCUCUAGCGCCCAUGGUACUGCUCGUUUUGCGGGUGGGAGAGUAGGUCGUUGCCGGGA
rnacentral:rRNA from 2 species